rnacentral:rRNA from 1 species
GAUGAACGCUAGCGGCAGGCCUAAUACAUGCAAGUCGAACGGUGUCUUCGGACAUAGUGGCGCACGGGUGCGUAACACGUAUGCAACCUACCUUACAUUGGGGGAUAGCCUUUCGAAAGGGAGAUUAAUACCGCAUAAGACAGUAGCUGGGCAUCCAGCAGCUGUUAAAGAUUUAUCGAUGUAAGCUGGGCAUGCGUCCAAUUAGCUAGUUGGUGAGGUAACGGCUCACCAAGGCAAUGAUUGGUAGGGGAACUGAGAGGUCAAUACCCCACACUGGCGCUGAGAUACGGGCCAGACUCCUACGGGAGGCAGCAGUAGGGAAUAUUGGGCAAUGGAAGCAAGUCGGACCAGCCAUGCCGCGUGCAGGAUGAAGGCGUUAUGCGUUGUAAACUGCUUUUAUACAGGAAGAAACGACUCUUGCGAGAGGCAUUGACGGUACUGUAUGAAUAAGCACCGGCUAACUCCGUGCCAGCCGCCGCUGUAACAC